rnacentral:rRNA from 1 species
UACGAAGGGGGCUAGCGUUGUUCGGAAUCACUGGGCGUAAAGGGCGCGUAGGCGGCCGAUCAAGUCGGGGGUGAAAGCCUGUGGCUCAACCACAGAAUUGCCUUCGAUACUGUUUGGCUUGAGACCGGAAGAGGUAAGUGGAACUGCGAGUGUAGAGGUGAAAUUCGUAGAUAUUCGCAAGAACACCCGUGGCGAAGGCGGCUCUCUGGGACGGUACUGACGCUGAGACGCGAAAGCGUGGGGAGCGAACAGG